rnacentral:rRNA from 1 species
AAAGAGAGUUAAACAGUACGUGAAAUUGUUGAAAGGGAAGCGCUUGCACCCAGACUUGGGCGCUGCUGAUCACCUUGCGGUCUCCGCGAGUGCACUCGACAGCGCACAGGCCAGCAUCGGUUCGGGUGGCUGGAUAAAGGCCGUAGGAACGUAGCUCCCUUCGGGGAGUGUUAUAGCCUAGGGUGCCAUGCAGCCCAGCCGGACCGAGGACCGCGCCUUCGGGCUAGGAUGCUGGCGUAAUGGGUGUAAGCGACCCGUCUUGAAACACGGACCAAGGAGUCUAACAUCUAUGCGAGUGUUUGGGUGGUAAACCCAUACGCGGAAUGAAAGUGAACGUAGGUGAGAACCCCUUUGGGGCGCAUCAUCGACCGAUCUGAUG